AUUGUUUCUUUCACAAAGACGCCGAUACUAAACGCUAAUGACGCAGAUAUAAAACGCUGGUCUCUAAAAAUUAAUACUAGACCCUGGAUUGAAGAGUAAUAAAGUGGUGACAUGGCCGAAUUAGGUCAGUCAUCCGUUGUCCAGGGCUGCCGGCGCAGAGUCCAUAGUAACCCAAUCCAUCGUCCACUCAUGAGAGUGGAGAAGUUGACAUACUCCACCAACCCUACAGGUGUGAUUGGUCGGUCCACUGUGUCACGUGUCUCUGGAGUACAGCCUGGUGGCGCUACAGCACAAGGACACCUUGCUUAUUGCACACAUUGUAAUUAAAUAACAUUCAAGAACUAAUGUUCAUUGUGUCAUUCAUCUAUGUAGUAAUGGUCAUGAUUUCAAAGUAAUGGCCCUUGUACCAGUCGUCUGAACCAUGAUUGUUGUCCGAAGACUGUAAGAAUAAAAUAAGAAAUUAUUA